AUUGAACGCUGGCGGCAUGCUUUACACAUGCAAGUCGAACGGUAACAGGCCGCAAGGUGCUGACGAGAGGCGAACGGGUGAGUAAUGCAUCGGAACGUGCCCAAUCGUGGGGGAUAACGCAGCGAAAGUUGUGCUAAUACCGCAUACGAUCUGUGGAGGAAAGCGGGGGACUCGCAAGGGCCUCGCGUGAUUGGAGCGGCCGAUGUCAGAUUAGGUAGUUGGUGAGGUAAAGGCUCACCAAGCCAACGAUCUGUAGCUGGUCUGGGAGGACGACCAGCCACACUGGGACUGAGACACGGCCCAGACUCCUACGGGAGGCAGCAGUGGGGAAUUUUGGACAAUGGGGGCAACCCUGAUCCAGCAAUGCCGCGUGCAGGAAGAAGGCCUUCGGGUUGUAAACUGCUUUUGUACGGAACGAAACGGUCUGGGUUAAUACCCUGGGCUAAUGACGGUACCGUAAGAAUAAGCACCGGCUAACUACGUGCCAGCCGCCGCAGUAA
rnacentral:rRNA from 1 species